rnacentral:rRNA from 1 species
CCUACGGGAGGCAGCAGUGAGGAAUAUUGGUCAAUGGACGAGAGUCUGAACCAGCCAAGUAGCGUGCAGGAUGACUGCCCUAGGGGUGGUAAGCUUCUUUUAUAAAGGAAUAAAACGAGGCACGUGUGUCUUUUUGCAUGUACUUUAUGAUUAAGGACCGGCUAAGUCCGUGGCAGCAGCCGCGGUAAUACGGAGGAUCCGAGCGUUAUCCGGUAUGGUUGGGUUUAAAGGGAGCGUAGGUGGGUUUUUAAGUCAGUUGUGAAAUUUUGCGGCUCAACCGUACAAUUGCAAUUGAUACUGGCAGACUUGAGUACAGUUGAGGUAAGCGGAAUUCGUGGUGUAGCGGUGAAAUGCUUAGAUAUAACGAAGAACCCCGAUUGCGAAGGCAGCUUACU